ensembl:lncRNA
CAAGGGCCCCAUCAAGCCCCAGGGGCUUGGACUGCAAGGGCCUUGAUGAGGAUGAGCCUUGCUGGGAGAAGACGCAGUGGUCCACCUCGACCCCCGGAGCAGUUUUCAGGUCUCAGUGCUGCCAGAGGUGUCCGCCAGCUCUCCCUUUGGAUUGGAAAAUGCACGGAACCCUGCUUGCUGGGGUCAUGGAAGUGCUUUGGCAGAGUUCUCAAGGGCCAGAGAGGAGAAGACUGCUUACCGAGCCUCUCAUAGAGCAGCAGGGUGAGCACCCAAGUGGCACACCAUGGAGAGUUCCCUCAGCUCAAAGCCAGGAUCCCAAGUUCUAGCCCCUGCUCUGGCUCCUCCCAGCUGUACCACCUUGAGGAGUUUUCCUUCUGUGAAAAGAAAUCUGUAACAUUCAACCUGCAGAGUCGGUGUGAAGAUUAGCUGAUUGUACCUUGUGAAUCGUCUGCGGCAUAGGUGGCACAAUGAUGCUUGCUCAUCUGAUGAUAAUGAAGCUGCCACUGCCAAGGAGCAAAACAGAUUUGUCCACGAGAUCUCAUCAAGAGGGAACAAUGUGGCAAAGAUGGCCAAAGUGUGGG